UACGUAGGGGGCGAGCGUUGUCCGGAGUUACUGGGCGUAAAGGGCACGCAGGUCCGUUGUGAAAACUGGAGGCUCAACCUCCAGCUGUCGACGGAAACCGUAUGGCUAGAGUCCGGAAGAGGAGAGUGGAAUUCCUGGUGUAGCGGUGAAAUGCGCAGAUAUCAGGAAGAACACCAAUGGCGAAGGCAGCUCUCUGGGACGGUACUGACGCUGAGACGCGAAAGCGUGGGGAGCGAACAGG
rnacentral:rRNA from 1 species